CCAGUGGAUCUCGACGUCGUGGGCAGGAGGAGGAGGAGGGAGCGGGGAGGGUCGUGAAGGAGGGCACGGGCGGCUUCUGCGUGGAUGGGAGCGUCAAGAAGGAGGGAGCGGACGGCCGGUGGGAGAGAAGGAAAGGCUGCGCGGGUUUUGGGGAGGAUGCGGAUGCUGAAAGCAAAGAUGAGGAUGCUGGAGGAAACGAGAAGCGUUAAAAUGAAUAAAUUUCUUCUCACUUACGAAAAUCAAGUGAUAGCUCAAUGGUUUGUCUACUGCUUUGGAACUUGUACACCACGGUUCAGUUCAGUCAUGCAUCACAAUUUUUUUGCAUUUUUUUCAUUUUAUUCCUAAAGUUUUACCAGUUUUUUAUUUCUAAUUUUUUUGCCAAGCCAGGUUUAUACAAUUCCAAUAUAUAUUUUCUUAUGUUCUAACAUAAUGUGCAUGAGUGAAUGCUAUAGGUUUCAAUCACAAAUACAAAGAUAAGUGUAUCACUAGCUUUGUG
rnacentral:lncRNA from 1 species